CCCUUAGAUGUUCUGGGCUGCACGCGCGCGACAAUGACGUUUGCAACGAGAUACGAGACCGAAAGGUUAAGUUGAUCUAGCAAGCUGCGUCGUGAUAAGGACUGUCGAUUGCAAUUAUUCGACACGAACGAGGAAUUCCUUGUAAUCGCACAUCAUCAGUGUGCGCUGAAUACGUCCCUGCCCUUUGUACACACCGCCCGUCGCUCCUACCGAUCGAGUGAUCCGGUGAAUGUUUUGGAUCGGUUGCAAGUUGCGCGACGCGCUUCUUGCAUGCUGUGAAAUCAUGUAAGCCUUAUUGCUUAGAGGAAGGAGAAGUCGUAACA
rnacentral:rRNA from 1 species